ACGCUGGCGGCGUGCUUAACACAUGCAAGUCGAACGAUGAAGCCUAGCUUGCUAGGUGGAUUAGUGGCGAACGGGUGAGUAAUACGUGAGUAACCUACCUUUAACUCUGGGAUAAGCCUGGGAAACUGGGUCUAAUACCGGAUACGACCAAUCUCCGCAUGGGGUGUUGGUGGAAAGCGUUAUGUAGUGGUUAUAGAUGGGCUCACGGCCUAUCAGCUUGUUGGCGAGGUAACGGCUCACCAAGGCGACGACGGGUAGCCGGCCUGAGAGGGUGACCGGCCACACUGGGACUGAGACACGGCCCAGACUCCUACGGGAGGCAGCAGUGGGGAAUAUUGCACAAUGGGCGCAAGCCUGAUGCAGCGACGCCGCGUGAGGGAUGACGGCCUUCGGGUUGUAAACCUCUGUUAGCAGGGAAGAAGAGAGAUUGACGGUACCUGCAGAGAAAGCGCCGGCUAACUACGUGCCAGCAGCCGCGGUAAUACGUAGGGCGCGAGCGUUGUCCGGAAUUAUUGGGCGUAAAGAGCUUGUAGGCGGUUUGUCGCGUCUGCUGUGAAAGGCCGGGGCUUAACUCCGUGUAUUGCAGUGGGUACGGGCAGACUAGAGUGCAGUAGGGGAGACUGGAAUUCCUGGUGUAGCGGUGGAAUGCGCAGAUAUCAGGAGGAACACCGAUGGCGAAGGCAGGUCUCUGGGCUGUAACUGACGCUGAGAAGCGAAAGCAUGGGGAGCGAACAGGAUUAGAUACCCUGGUAGUCCAUGCCGUAAACGUUGGGCACUAGGUGUGGGGGACAUUCCACGUUUUCCGCGCCGUAGCUAACGCAUUAAGUGCCCCGCCUGGGGAGUACGGCCGCAAGGCUAAAACUCAAAGAAAUUGACGGGGGCCCGCACAAGCGGCGGAGCAUGCGGAUUA
rnacentral:rRNA from 1 species